UGAUACCAUCAGUGCACCAUGAAUCACCCCUUAUUAUUGUGCUCAGAGCUUUCCUUUCUGAGCUGACAAGCAGGGCUAAGACCUGGGCUUAUCCCAGGCUACCAACAAACACUCUCUUAUGUUACACUCUCCUGCCAGCUCCAUACCCUCUGCUGGCCCUUGUGGGUUUGGGAAUCUGUGAGAUUUUUUGUUUGGCAGGAACUGAAAACUUGAGACUAUUGCUAAACUGGUCCAUGAGUGAGCACACUGCAGGGACACAGUACCCCAGGGAGCAGGCCUAGACACUGAUUUUAUCCAAAGCAGAAGAGCAGGGAUUGCUCUCCAGGUGCUUUCAUGCAGCUAACUCUCUUAUUCUCCUUUUAUUUUUUUAAGUAAAAAAUUAGCUGGUCCCUAUGGAAGUCCCAGUUUCAAAGAAUUCAGAGUAAUUUUACCAGUGUCUGAACUGGCUCUUUAUAAGAGCUGGUCAUGAAUUUGUUUGUGGAGCAUUUUUCCAUGGGAAAACACCGAUCAGGUAAAAGUUAAGUGCUCUGUGAAAAUGUUUUUAUUUUGGUGGAGUGCUGCUGGCAGUACAUGGGGCUUGUCAGGGCAUUUCCAGCUUCCAUCUGUCCUGGAGCUUCCAUCUUCCCUUGGAGCUGGCCUUCUGUUUCAGGGACACCUUGUGUCUGAAACCUGUUGGGGCAAGCUGCCUACAGAAACAGGCUGUGUGGCUGAGCUGGGACCCAAAAAGCUCCUCAAACUGCUAACAUUGCUUCUUUUUAGGGGCAACAAAGUUGUGCAACAGAGACCUGAGAUCAGUAUCUGCAGUGGAGCAGCUCUUGUUCUGCAAGAACCAAGUUUGGGCCAAGUUUUGGACUCCACCAGGAAGAGUUGUUGAGACACGCACUGAAUGCUGGAGCCAUGCCGUUCCUCCACAUUAUCUGUCUUCGUUUUGACUGCUAAUCCAUCACAGACACGGUGACUACUCUCAUGACCUCCCACACAGAAGACAAGCAAGCAGUACUCCCAUCUGUCAACUCUAGUCACAAGGUGGCAGGUCUCUGUGCUUGUGCAUCUGUAUGAGUCUAUACAUGUAUGGAAUAUGUGUGAGCAUCUGAUACUUUGGUAAGAGUCUGAAGUGUUUUACACUAUGUUUUAGGUGAUUUAUUGCACUUUAGCACAUUCAUAAAAUGCAUCGUGUUAAGCAUAUGCAUAAAAAUAAUAUAUAGGUUACCACAAAAUUUUUAUGACUUUAACCAGAUCCGUCUUGGAAUGUCGUCUUGAAUGUUUCACUCCUGCAGGUGAAAAAACAUAUUAUUUCAACUGAGUUUAGGGUAAGUUGUUUAGUCAAGACAACAAUAUUGUGGAGAGAGCCGUUACCUUGGUAGCACUUUGCCAAUUUAAGUACUAAUGAGAGGGGUUGAUUUCUGUCCUACAUCCAACAUAAGGUGUCUAUGACUACUGUGUCUCCAGUCUGCAUUCCUCAGCUGUCCCAUUCUCCUACUGUUUGCAGACAAUACAGAGUCAAGAAUUAUAUAAAUACCCUGCAUAGUUACAGUAUCCCUUGAAGGUAGGAGAGAUUUCUUGUAAGGAAUGUUCCAUUGGUGAGAGACUGGUAAAAGUCAGCAGACUACACAUGAGACAAGAGAAAGAUUGGAUGUCUGAUAAUAAAGUAGACUUCAGAAGGCA
ensembl:lncRNA